AAGAAAUGAUGAUUUGCCAUGCUAAUACUGAGGAAUCUUUAGGAUUUCGCUGAGUUGAAAAACUUGAAAGCAAAACUGAUUUUU